rnacentral:rRNA from 1 species
GAUGAACGCUGGCGGCGUGCCUAAUACAUGCAAGUCGAGCGAACGGACGAGAAGCUUGCUUCUCUGAUGUUAGCGGCGGACGGGUGAGUAACACGUGGAUAACCUACCUAUAAGACUGGGAUAACUUCGGGAAACCGGAGCUAAUACCGGAUAAUAUUUUGAACCGCAUGGUUCAAAAGUGAAAGACGGUCUUGCUGUCACUUAUAGAUGGAUCCGCGCUGCAUUAGCUAGUUGGUAAGGUAACGGCUUACCAAGGCAACGAUGCAUAGCCGACCUGAGAGGGUGAUCGGCCCACCUGGAACUGGGACACGGUCCAGCCUCCUACGGGAGGCAGCAGUAGGGAAUCUUCCGCAAUGGGCGAAAGCCUGACGGAGCAACGCCGCGUGAGUGAUGAAGGUCUUCGGAUCGUAAACCUCUGUUAUUAGGGAAGAACAUAUGUGUAAGUAACUGUGCACAUCUUGACGGUACCUAAUCAGAAAGCCACGGCUAACUACGUG